UACGGGGGGGGCAAGCGUUGUUCGGAAUUACUGGGCGUAAAGGGCGCGUAGGCGGCCUGCUAAGUCGGACGUGAAAUCCCUCGGCUCAACCGGGGAACUGCGUCCGAUACUGGCGAGGCUUGAAUCCGGGAGAGGGAUGUGGAAUUCCAGGUGUAGCGGUGAAAUGCGUAGAUAUCUGGAGGAACACCAGUGGCGGAGGCGGCAUCCUGGACCGGCAUUGACGCUGAGGCGCGAAAGCUAGGGUAGCAAACGGG
rnacentral:rRNA from 1 species